rnacentral:lncRNA from 1 species
GGCCUCUAGUUUAUUUAGACUUUCCGAGAAGGUUUCUCCUAAAAUCACAUUAAUUCCUUCUUCCUUGACUGGGAGUUCCAUGUUUGAGUAUCCCUCACAGGGUAAAUGAAGAAUCUCUCCCAAAAGUACAGGAUCUAAAUAGAUUUCUAUACCCUUAACAGUGGAUGUUACUGUUCCAUUGCCAUAGCUCAAGUUCAAAUAAAAUUUUCUAACCAAAUCCAUAUAAGUUCUUUAAGUGAGCAGUAGAAUCCCCAACCUUGAUCUU